GCCUCCCCCGCAGGGGGAGGGCGGGAAAGCCCAGACGGCGAGGGAUGGGCCCGCGGCCUGUUAGCUAGUUGGCGGGGCAGCGGCCCACCAAGGCGAUGAUGGGUAGCCGGGUUGAGAGACCGACCGGCCAGAUUGGGACUGAGACACGGCCCAGACUCCUACGGGAGGCAGCAGUGGGGAAUCUUGCACAAUGGGCGGAAGCCUGAUGCAGCGACGCCGCGUGCGGGACGAAGGCCUUCGGGCUGUAAACCGCUUUCAGCAGGGACGAGGCGAAAGUGACGGUACCUGCAGAAGAAGCCCCGGCUAACUACGUGCCAGCAGCCGCGGUAAUACGUAGGGGGCAAGCGUUAUCCGGAUUCAUUGGGCGUAAAGCGCGCGUAGGCGGCCAGCCUGGUCGGGAGUCAAAUCCGGGGGCUCAACCCCCGUCCGCUCCCGAUACCGGCCGGCUUGAGUCUGGCAGGGGAAGGCGGAAUUCCCGGUGUAGCGGUGGAAUGCGCAGAUAUCGGGAAGAACACCGGUGGCGAAGGCGGCCUUCUGGGCCACGACUGACGCUGAGGCGCGAAAGCUAGGGGAGCGAACAGGAUUAGAUACCCUGGUAGUCCUAGCCGUA
rnacentral:rRNA from 1 species